AUGAAAUCCUAUCAAACAGAAUUUUAUCUAUCUGUCCCAGAGGAACCCAUCUACUCAUGCCAGAUAACUUGUCCUUCUGAGAAAUUACCAAACUUUUCCAAACUUUGAAAUAUUCACUCCUAAAAUUCUACUAUAUUCUAGUUGAUGCUCUGAAAAAAAAUCCCUCUUUCUUCUCUGCCUCUCCCACUCCUACUGCUAUUCCAUCUUUCAUCCCACAGAGUCCCAAGAGAGAUUUCUCCAGAAGAGAAAAACAGAUACCAAUGUUUUCAUAAACUUUUCUGUAAUCAUGAAAAACUUUUUGGCAAAGGGGAGGAGAAAACGGGAAGUGGUCUUCUCUGAACCCAAUCGAAAAGAAAAUUAGACAUCCUUUCACCUGGAAAAUCAAAGAGCCCCAAGGAAAUGUCUUUCUUCAGUGGCAGACCUCACCAAAAUGAACCAAACCUGAAGAGGAGGAAAAUGGCUGACACCAACAGCAGCUAUGAGGAUGUAUUUGUGAGGACUUCUGAAAGAGCCGCCAGGAAAUCCCAGAAAUGCAAGGGGACCAGGAGACAGUGGCAGCAAGGAGGGAGGGAAUACAGAAGAGAGCGGCAAGAAGGAAAAUUACAAGGUGGAAUGAAAAAGGAAUGAAAACUCCCAGCAAAAUGAUGACAUGUCAGUCCUUUACAAGAUGCUCAGAAGACUCUUUACAAUGGCCCUGUUGAUUUUUAAGCAUCCAAAAUGUGCAAAUCAUUGCAUUAUUUUUCAUCAUGCCAGAAAGUGUUUGCAUUUUUAUUUUUGUGGGUCAGGGCAGAUGAAUUCCUAGAAAAGAGGCUGGAACCAUGCCAUCUCCUAGAAGCUGCUACGGGUGGGGAUCCAGAAUCUGUGCAGGAAGGUGACUAGUAAACGUACAGUGAUACUGUUUGCAAAUACCUUUUUUGACAUCCAUCAUUCUACCAUAACCCUGUGAGGUAAGUAAUUAAGAUCCCAAUUUAACAACUAAGAAAAUUCAAAGAGUAAGUGACUGCCCAAACAUCAGGUCAGUGUAACAAGAUUUGGUUUCAAUGUUGAUGUCCCAAACUGAUUUGGCUAAUGCAUUCACUCAAGUAGGUGUCACCUUCCCCUAUCACUGCUCUCUUUUGAAGCUCCACAGAUGAGCAAACCUUCCCAGCUAAAAGAUCACCUGUUAGUAAAAGAAAACCAAAAUAGCUACAGCUCCCACACAAAACUCCAAACCAGCUAUGGGAGUCCCCAGAACAUGGGUGGGAACUGUGACUUGCUUCUAACCACAGAAUACCACAAAGGAGAUGGGACGUCACUUCUAUGAUUACUUUACGUAAGACUCCAUCUUGCUAGGAGACCCACUCUGGCUCUCCUGCUGGCUUUGAAGAAAUAAGAUGCUAUGCUGUGAACUGCCUAUGGAAAAGGCCACUUGGCAGGGAACUACAGGUCACCUCUAUGAGCUUUAGGAGGCCUCCAGCCAACAGCCAGUGAGAGGCCAAGGCCCCCAGCUCCUAUGGGCCACAAAGAAAGAAAUUCCGCCAACAAUCGGAAGGAGCUUGGCAAUGUGUUGUUCUCCAGUCAACCCUCCAGAUGAGAACACAGCCUGGCAGACACCUCGAUUUCAGCCUCUGAGACUCUGAGCAGAGAAUCUAACUCAGCCCUGCCUGGACUUCUGACCUACAGAAGCUGUGACAUAAUAAAUGUGUGUUGUCUUAAGCCUCUAAGUUUAGA
rnacentral:lncRNA from 1 species